rnacentral:misc_RNA from 1 species
CUGUAAAUUGAGGUCACCUGAGGUCAUUCGAGUGUGUUUCCAUGGCUACUAUAGGGUCGAGGUUCUUUCGUCUGCAGAAAGUUGAACUAUCAUUCAAUCAUUUCCAGCAAAUGACAAUUAACGCUAGUUUUACUUGACGAGAAAUGGCUUGCAUCAUCCUGUCCAAUCUGCUACCUCUCGUUUGUUUGUUUUAUUUUUCCAUCUACUCGACAGCGGCAAAACCUGAUGGAUGUGGAAUUCGAGCUAAUACCCAGACUAGAAUUGUCGGCGGAGAAGUAUCUUAUCCAGGAAAAUGGCCCUGGAUGGCUGCACUUUAUCGCUCUAAUACAAACCAGUACUGUGCUGGAGCUUUGAUCUCAGAUCGUCAUGUGCUUACUGCUGCACAUUGUGUCAGUGGGGUACAUCCAUCUAAACUUCACAUCAGGUUGGGAGAAUUUGACAUACCAGGAAGGUUGCCUGCUAGCUCUACCCAGCCAAAUAAAAGUUCUAGCGGGACAUUGUUGGAUGAGAACAGCAAUGGCAACAACCUAUACAGUGUUGAAAAGAUAAUUGUUCAUCAACAGUAUGAACCACGCUCGCACCUGCACGACAUUGCCAUCGUUCGAUUAGGCCAAGCCGUCCUGUUCUCUCCUGUCAUCCAACGCAUCUGUCUGCCUCCUCCGUCAUUGCCAUCACUGGAAGACCGAACAGCUAUUGUGGCAGGUUGGGGAACAACUGCGUUUCUAGGCACUUCUAGUCCCUCUCUUCGCGAAGUAGAGGUGCCCAUUUGGAAUAAUCAAGCCUGUCUCCAAGCUAUUGGAAAAAAUGUCUUUAAUACGACGCUCUGCGCUGGUGGUCGAAUUAAAUCGGCUGACGCUUGUCAGGGCGAUAGUGGCGGGCCGUUGAUGAUGCCCAUGGUGGACGAUCGAUGGGCAGCCAUCGGUGUUGUUUCGUGGGGUAUCAGAUGCGGUGAACCAACCAAACCAGGCCUCUACACUCGAACUAGUCAUUACACGGACUGGAUCCUAUCCACCGUCCAGCGCACAGCGUGAUUCAUUAAAAUGUUGGCUGAAAGAAACGUGAGACGCGUGAACUAUCGAAUGUCGGAAUCUUGCGCGCUUGCCCCACUGACGAUGGCCAUAAAUUCAUUAUAUUCGUAUUUAGUAAAGCAGUAACUAUGCGUGUGUUCCAAUAUUCAGCGCUGCAGGUGGCGGGUUCUACCUCGAAAUAAAUUCUUUUUAAUUUUUCCUUA